UACGGGGGGGGCAAGCGUUGUUCGGAAUUACUGGGCGUAAAGGGCGCGUAGGCGGUCCGCUAAGUUAGAUGUGAAAACUCUGGGCUCAACCCAGAGCCUGCAUCUAAUACUGACGGGCUAGAGUUCUGGAGGGGGUAGCGGAAUUCCUGGUGUAGCGGUGAAAUGCGUAGAUAUCAGGAGGAACACCGGUGGCGAAAGCGGCGCGCUGGAUCUCUUCUGACGCUGAGGCGCGACAGCGUGGGUAGCAAACAGG
rnacentral:rRNA from 1 species